rnacentral:snRNA from 1 species
AAACUCCACCAGCCGCCUCUGUGUUCACAAAGAGCCUUUGCAAAUUCCCCAAAUGUGGGAAUCUCAACUGCAUAAUUUUAGGUAGUGGGGGACUGCUUAUGCCCUCUCCCCUG